rnacentral:rRNA from 1 species
UACGAAGGGGGCUAGCGUUGUUCGGAAUUACUGGGCGUAAAGCGUGCGUAGACGGUCAUGUAAGUCGGGUGUGAAAGCCCCGGGCUCAACCUGGGAAUUGCAUUCGAGACUGCAUGGCUAGGAUGCGGAAGAGGGAAGCGGAAUUUCCGGUGUAGCGGUGAAAUGCGUAGAUAUCGAGAGGAACACCUGCGGCGAAGGCGGGUUGCUGGGCUGAUACUGACGCUGAGGCGCGAAAGCCAGGGGAGCGAACGGG